rnacentral:misc_RNA from 1 species
GAUGAAGAACGCAGCGAAAUGCGAUAAGUAGUGUGAAUUGCAGAAUUCAGUGAAUCAUCGAAUCUUUGAACGCACAUUGCGCCCCUUGGUAUUCCAUGGGGCAUGCCUGUUCGAGCGUCAUUUGUACCUUCAAGCUUUGCUUGGUGUUGGGUGUUUGUCCCUCGGGACUCGCCUUAAAGUCAUUGGCAGCCAGUGUUUUGGUUUUGAAGCGCAGCACAAGUCGCGAUUCAAGGCUAUCCGCCCGCUUCCACAAGCCUUUUUCACUUUUGACCUCGUAUCAGGUAGGGAUACCCGCUGAACUUAAGCAUAUCAAUAAGCGGAGGA